rnacentral:rRNA from 1 species
UGGGGAAUUUUGGACAAUGGGGGAAACCCUGAUCCAGCCAUCCCGCGUGUGCGAUGAAGGCCUUCGGGUUGUAAAGCACUUUUGGCAGGAAAGAAACGUCGCGGGUUAAUACCCCGCGGAACUGACGGUACCUGCAGAAUAAGCACCGGCUAACUACGUGCCAGCAGCCGCGGUAAUACGUAGGGUGCAAGCGUUAAUCGGAAUUACUGGGCGUAAAGCGUGCGCAGGCGGUUCGGAAAGAAAGAUGUGAAAUCCCAGAGCUUAACUUUGGAACUGCAUUUUUAACUACCCGGGCUAGAGUGUGUCAGAGGGAGGUGGAAUUCCGCGUGUAGCAGUGAAAUGCGUAGAUAUGCGGAGGAACACCGAUGGCGAAGGCAGCCUCCUGGGAUAACACUGACGCUCAUGCACGAAAGCGUGGGGAGCAAACAGGAUUAGAUACCCUGGUAGUCCACGCCCU